rnacentral:rRNA from 1 species
UACGAAGGGGGCUAGCGUUGCUCGGAAUCACUGGGCGUAAAGGGUGCGUAGGCGGGUCUUUAAGUCAGGGGUGAAAUCCUGGGGCUCAACUCCAGAACUGCCUUUGAUACUGAGGAUCUUGAGUUCGGGAGAGGUGAGUGGAACUGCGAGUGUAGAGGUGAAAUUCGUAGAUAUUCGCAAGAACACCAGUGGCGAAGGCGGCUCACUGGCCCGAUACUGACGCUGAGGCACGAAAGCGUGGAGAGCAAACAGG